AUGAACGCUAGCGGCAGGCUUAACACAUGCAAGUCGAGGGGCAUCGGGAGGGAAGCUUGCUUUCCUUGCCGGCGACCGGCGCACGGGUGAGUAACACGUAUGCAACCUGCCCUCUUCAGGGGGACAACCUUCCGAAAGGGAGGCUAAUCCUGCGUAUAUCGGUUUCGGGCAUCCGAGAUCGAGGAAAGAUUCAUCGGAAGAGGAUGGGCAUGCGGCGCAUUAGCUAGACGGCGGGGUAACGGCCCACCGUGGCGACGAUGCGUAGGGGUUCUGAGAGGAAGGUCCCCCACACUGGUACUGAUACACGGACCAGACUCCUACGGGAGGCAGCAGUGAGGAGUAUUGGUCAAUGGGAGAGAUCCUGAACCACCCAAGCCGCGUGAGGGAAGACGGCCCUAUGGGUUGUAAACCUCUUUUGUCGGAGAACAAAACCCGGGACGUGUCCCGGACUGCGUGUAUCCUAAAAAAAAGCAUCGGCUAACUUCCGUGCCAUCAUCCGUGGUAAUACGGGAAGAUGCGAGCGUUAUCCGGAUUUAUUGGGUUUAAAAGGGUGCGUUGGCGGUCCCGUUAAGUCAACCGGAAAAAUGCGGGGGCUCAACCCCGUCGAGCCGUUGAAAACUGGCGGACUUGAGUUGGCGGGAAGUACGCGGAAUUGCGCGGUGUAGCGGUGAAAUGCAUAGAUAUCGCGCAGAACUCCGAUUGCGAAGGCAGCGUACCGGCGCCAGACUGACGCUGAGGCACGAAAGCGUGGGGAUCGAACAGGAUUAGAUACCCUGGUAGUCCACGCAGUAAACGAUGAAUGCUGGUUGUCCGGGUCGAAUGAGACCUGGGCGGCGAAGCGAAAGCGAUAAGCAUUCCACCUGGGGAGUACGCCGGCAACGGUGAAACUCAAAGGAAUUGACGGGGGCCCGCACAAGCGGAGGAACAUGUGGUUUAAUUCGAUGAUACGCGAGGAACCUUACCCGGGCUCAAACGGGAGUGGAAUGGACCAGAGACGGUUCAGCCUACGGGCCGCUUCCGAGGUGCUGCAUGGUUGUCGUCAGCUCGUGCCGUGAGGUGUCGGCUUAAGUGCCAUAACGAGCGCAACCCCCGCCGGCAGUUGCUAACGGGCAAUGCCGAGGACUCUGCCGGGACUGCCGCCGCAAGGCGUGAGGAAGGCGGGGAUGACGUCAAAUCAGCACGGCCCUUACGUCCGGGGCGACACACGUGUUACAAUGGGCGGUACAGCGGGAAGCCAGGCGGCGACGCCGAGCGGAACCCGAAAGCCGUUCUCAGUUCGGAUCGGAGUCUGCAACCCGACUCCGUGAAGCUGGAUUCGCUAGUAAUCGCGCAUCAGCCAUGGCGCGGUGAAUAC
rnacentral:rRNA from 1 species